rnacentral:rRNA from 1 species
AUUGAACGCUGGCGGCAGGCUUAACACAUGCAAGUCGAGCGGGGAAAGGUAGCUUGCUACCUGACCUAGCGGCGGACGGGUGAGUAAUGCUUAGGAAUCUGCCUAUUAGUGGGGGACAACAUUCCGAAAGGAAUGCUAAUACCGCAUACGCCCUACGGGGGAAAGCAGGGGAUCUUCGGACCUUGCGCUAAUAGAUGAGCCUAAGUCAGAUUAGCUAGUUGGGGGGGUAAAGGCCUACCAAGGCGACGAUCUGUAGCGGGUCUGAGAGGAUGAUCGGCCACACUGGGACUGAGACACGGCCCAGACUCCUACGGGAGGCAGCAGUGGGGAAUAUUGGACAAUGGGCGAAAGCCUGAUCCAGCCAUGCCGCGUGUGUGAGGAAGGCCUUUUGGUUGUAAAGCACUUUAAGCGAGGAGGAGGCUACUUGGAUUAAUACUCUAGGAUAGUGGACGUUACUCGCAGAAUAAGCACCGGCUAACUCUGUGCCAGCCGCCGCCGUAAAAC